rnacentral:rRNA from 1 species
GAUGAACGCUGGCGGCGUGCCUAAUACAUGCAAGUCGAGCGAACAGACGAGGAGCUUGCUCCUCUGACGUUAGCGGCGGACGGGUGAGUAACACGUGGAUAACCUACCUAUAAGACUGGGAUAACUUCGGGAAACCGGAGCUAAUACCGGAUAACAUGUUGAACCGCAUGGUUCAACGGUGAAAGACGGUCUUGCUGUCACUUAUAGAUGGAUCCGCGCCGCAUUAGCUAGUUGGUAAGGUAACGGCUUACCAAGGCAACGAUGCGUAGCCGACCUGAGAGGGUGAUCGGCCACACUGGAACUGAGACACGGUCCAGACUCCUACGGGAGGCAGCAGUAGGGAAUCUUCCGCAAUGGGCGAAAGCCUGACGGAGCAACGCCGCGUGAGUGAAGAAGGUCUUCGGAUCGUAAAACUCUGUUAUUAGGGAAGAACAAAUGUGUAAGUAACUAUGCACGUCCUGACGGUACCUAAUCAGAAAGCCACGGCUAACUACGUG